GAUGAACGCUGGCGGCGUGCUUAACACAUGCAAGUCGAACGAACGGACGAGAAGCUUGUUUCUCUGAUGUUAGCGGCGGAAGGGGGAGUAACACGCGGAUAACAUACGUAUAAGUCUGCGAUAACUUCGGGAAACAGGAGCGAAUACCGGAUAAUAUUUUGAACCGUAUGGUGCAAAAGUGAAAGACGGUCUUGCUGUCACUUAUAGAUGGAUCCGCACGGCAUUAGCUAGUUGGUGAGGUAACGGCUUACCAUGGCAACGAUGCAUAGCCGACCCGAGCUGGUGGUCGGCCCCACUAGACCUGAGCCGCGGCCCAGACCCCUACCGGAGGCCACGGUACGGACUCUUCCGCUAUGGGCGAAAGCCUGACGUAGCACCGCCGCGUGAGGGAUGAAGGUCUUCCGAUCGUAAAGCUCUGUUAUUAGGCAAGAACAUAUGUGCAAGUACCUGUGCACAUCUUGACGGUACCUAAUCAGAAAGCCCCGGCUAACUACGUG
rnacentral:rRNA from 1 species